rnacentral:ncRNA from 1 species
CGGGGGCUACGCGCAGACGCCCCGCCGAACCGAUGGCCAUGCCAUCCAAGCUCUGC